AGAAGUGCAGCUAUUUUACAUUGUCGAUGAGUCUGAAAGAGCUCCUGCAGACGAUCCUCUGUUGCUAUGGUUCAAUGGAGGCCCAGGUUGCUCUGGUCUUGCUGGAUUCUUUUUUGAGAGUGGUAUUUUCUCGUCCUUCAUUACAUCAGUUUCUGAAAACAUGUUGCACAAAGCUAUGAAUUUCUGCAGAAGGUAUGCAUCUUAUACAAUCUAUUUGUAAGAAAACUAGUGGCAUUUAUUCCACAGAUUUAAUGAAUAGUCUGCUUUGAAUUUGACAAUUCGUGUUGUCAUGCAGUGGCUGGAGGCACACCCUGCGGAAAAUAUGCUCUACAUUGGUGGUGACUCCUUCUCUGGCAUAAUUGUGCCAAUGAUUGUGUAACAAAUAUUGGAUGGUAAUGAAAAUGGAACUUUGCCUCUAAUGAAUCUCAAGGGAUAUGUAAUUGGGAACCCAGUGACAGAUUCAUUCAUUGAUGCAAAUGGAAGAA